CACGUAGGGCGCAAGCGUUGUCCGGAAUUAUUGGGCGUAAAGAGCUCGUAGGCGGUCUGUUGCGUCCGCUGUGAAAACCCGGGGCUUAACCCCUGGCUUGCAGUGGAUACGGACAGACUAGAGGUAGGUAGGGGAGAAUGGAAUUCCCGGUGUAGCGGUGAAAUGCGCAGAUAUCAGGAGGAACACCGGUGGCGAAGGCGGUUCUCUGGGCCUUACCUGACGCUGGAGGAGCGAAAGCAUGGGGAGCAAACAGG
rnacentral:rRNA from 1 species